GGAGCACGGUGUCAGUGUGAGACCCACGGGGCUGGAAGCUGUGACCCUGGAAGGAAUGCUUGGCCCAGGGGCAGCUCACCUGGAGCCAGCUGGAAGCACAAGCUGGAAGAUCCCUGAGGAAUCCCCACAGAAUUGGGUCUGUGCUGAAAAGAGAGAGAAUUCCAGCAAUCCCUCAACUUUGCUUGGCUUUCUCACCAGCCUCCUUCACUCAUCAAUUCCUAAACAAACAGCGUGAUCCUAAUAUUGGCCCUAAAAUUCUGUGUGAAAUGGACCUGGAAAUUAAUUUCACACCGGAAAAGCCAGCUCACUGUCAGCCACAGCACAGGUGGUUGAAAAGAAAACUCCAAGAUGGCUCUACAAAUUAAUUGUGUGGCUUGGAUGAGAGGCUAGCAGGUGGGGAGCUGCCACCAUCCCAACCCACACUGCACCACGGGCUGCUGGAAAGCUGUGGGAGAGGGAGGAUGCCACCAUUCCCCUGGGGCUUGUGGUCAUGGGGGACAAAAUCGCCCAAAAAAGUGGGAGCAGGGGGCAUGGGGAUGCUUUUUUCCUGAGCACAAAAGCGGCCCUGCACUUUUACACAGGUCUAAUUUAAAAAUAAUAAUAAUAAAAAAAGGAUGGUAGUUUGGGAAAGCACUUGCAGGGACCCUUGUGGGAGACUCCUGUGUGAAGAAAUGACUGAUGGCACAAUACUGCAUGGGCUGGUUGUCCAUGCAGACCCCUGAGGCUGUGGCAGAACAUGGUUCCAUGGCAAGCAGAGUUAAUUCAGUGCCUUAGCAGGGCAGGAUUUUGCACAUAUCCAUGUUUCACCUGCUUUCCGUGUGAUGUUUCAUCUGUUCAGAGCCAAAUGGUGAUCCCAGCUCUCACAGGCAGAGGAGGGAGGCACCGUGGGGAGAGCUGGAUGUGGGAAUGUUCUGUGGCUGGGUGGAAAAUGAGAGGGGGAGAAGCCCUGCAGUACAAUUUCAAGGUUGAGUGAGUGGUGCCAGGAGGCUGUGAAAGGCUCUGCUGAGCUGCUCUGUGCUCACAGGCAGGAUGGAGAAGGGAGGUCACGGGA